rnacentral:rRNA from 1 species
GAUGAACGCUGGCGGCGUGCCUAAUACAUGCAAGUCGAGCGAACAGACGAGGAGCUUGCUCCUCUGACGUUAGCGGCGGACGGGUGAGUAACACGUGGAUAACCUACCUAUAAGACUGGGAUAACUUCGGGAAACCGGAGCUAAUACCAGAUAACAUGUUGAACCGCAUGGUUCAACAGUGAAAGACGGUCUUGCUGUCACUUAUAGAUGGAUCCGCGCCGCAUUAGCUAGUUGGUAAGGUAACGGCUUACCAAGGCAACGAUGCGUAGCCGACCUGAGAGGGUGAUCGGCCACACUGGAACUGAGACACGGUCCAGACUCCUACGGGAGGCAGCAGUAGGGAAUCUUCCGCAAUGGGCGAAAGCCUGACGGAGCAACGCCGCGUGAGUGAUGAAGGUCUUCGGAUCGUAAAACUCUGUUAUUAGGGAAGAACAAAUGUGUAAGUAACUAUGCACGUCUUGACGGUACCUAAUCAGAAAGCCACGGCUAACUACGUGCCAGCAGCCGCGGUAAUACGUAGGUGACAAGCGUUAUCCGGAAUUAUUGGGCGUAAAGCGCGCGUAGGCGGUUUUUUAAGUCUGAUGUGAAAGCCCACGGCUCAACCGUGGAGGGUCAUUGGAAACUGGAAAACUUGAGUGCAGAAGAGGAAAGUGGAAUUCCAUGUGUAGCGGUGAAAUGCGCAGAGAUAUGGAGGAACACCAGUGGCGAAGGCGACUUUCUGGUCUGUAACUGACGCUGAUGUGCGAAAGCGUGGGGAUCAAACAGG